rnacentral:rRNA from 1 species
AACGUAGGUGGCGAGCGUUAUCCGGAUUUACUGGGCGUAAAGCGUGUGCAGGUGGCCUGUUAAGUGGUGUAUGAAAUCGCCCGGCUCAACCGGGCGGGGUUAUGCCAGACUGGCAGGCUAGAGGGUGGGAGAGGGAUGUGGAAUUCCGGGUGUAGUGGUGAAAUGCGUAGAGAUCCGGAGGAACCCCAGAGGCGAAGGCGGCAUCCUGGCCCACGACUGACACUCGAGACACGACAGCAUGGGGAGGCGAACGGG